rnacentral:misc_RNA from 1 species
GAUGAAGAACGUAUCGAAAUGCGAUAAGUAAUGUGAAUUGCAGAAUUCAGUGAAUCAUCGAGUCUUUGAACGCACAUUGCGCCCCCUGGUAUUCCGGGGGGCAUGCCUGUCCGAGCGUCAUUGCUGCCCUCAAGCACGGCUUGUGUGUUGGGCCCCCGCCCCCCGGCUUCGGGGGGCGGGCCCGAAAGGCAGCGGCGGCACCGCGUCCGGUCCUCGAGCGUAUGGGGCUUCGUCACCCGCUCUGUAGGCCCGGCCGGCGCCCGCCGGCGACCCCAAUCAAUCUUUCCAGGUUGACCUCGGAUCAGGUAGGGAUACCCGCUGAACUUAAGCAUAUCAAUAAGCGGAGGA